UACAGAGGUCUCAAGCGUUGUUCGGAUUCAUUGGGCGUAAAGGGUGCGUAGGCGGCGCGGUAAGUCGGGUGUGAAAUCUUGGAGCUUAACUCCGAAACUGCAUUCGAUACUGCCGUGCUUGAGGACUGGAGAGGAGACUGGAAUUUACGGUGUAGCGGUGAAAUGCGUAGAUAUCGAGAGGAACACCUGCGGCGAAGGCGGGUUGCUGGGCUGAUACUGACGCUGAGGCGCGAAAGCCAGGGGAGCGAACGGG
rnacentral:rRNA from 1 species